rnacentral:rRNA from 1 species
AGAGUUUGAUCAUGGCUCAGAUUGAACGCUGGCGGCGUGCCUAACACAUGCAAGUCGAGCGGUAACAGGUGUAGCAAUACAUGCUGACGAGCGGCGGACGGGUGAGCAAUAUUUGGGAAUCUGCCUAUUAGUGGGGGACAACCCGGGGAAACUCGGGCUAAUACCGCAUACGCACUACGGUGGAAAGCCGGGGACCGCAAGGCCUGGCGCUAAUAGAUGAGCCCAAAUCGGAUUAGCUAGUUGGUGAGGUAACGGCUCACCAAGGCGACGAUCCGUAGCUGGUCUGAGAGGACGACCAGCCACACCGGAACUGAGACACGGUCCGGACUCCUACGGGAGGCAGCAGUGGGGAAUAUUGGACAAUGGGCGAAAGCCUGAUCCAGCGACGCCGCGUGGGUGAAGAAGGCCUGCGGGUUGUAAAGCCCUUUCGGUGGGGAUAAAAAGCCUUGGUUUAACACACCAGGGUCUUGAUCUAACCCAAAAAAGAAGCACCGGCUAACUCUGUGCCAGCAGCCGCGGUAAUACAGAGGGUGCGAGCGUUAAUCGGAAUUACUGGGCGUAAAGCGCGCGUAGGUGGCUUUGCAAGUCGGAUGUGAAAUCCCCGGGCUUAACCUGGGAACUGCAUUCGAGACUGCUCUGCUAGAGUAUGGGAGAGGGAAGUGGAAUUUCCGGUGUAGCGGUGAAAUGCGUAGAUAUCGGAAGGAACAUCAGUGGCGAAGGCGACUUCCUGGACCAAUACUGACACUCAAGUGCGAAAGCGUGGGGAGCAAACAGGAUUAGAUACCCUAGUAGUCC